rnacentral:rRNA from 1 species
AGUGAACGCUGGCGGCGUGCCUAAUACAUGCAAGUCGAACGGAGUGGCGCACGGGUGAGUAAUGUAUAGCUAAUCUGCCAUACACUAGAGGACAACAGCUGGAAACGACUGCUAAUACUCUAUAGUGUAGGAUGAGGCUAUAUUGUAUCAGUUAGUUGGUGAGGUAAUGGCUCACCAAGGCUAUGACGCAUAACUGGUCUGAGAGGAUGAUCAGCCAGACUGGAACUGAGACACGGUGCAGGCUCCUACGAGAAGCAGCAGUAGGGAAUAUUGCUCAAUGGGGGUAACCCUAAAGCAGCAACGCCGCGUGGAGGAUGACACUUUUCGGAGCAUAAACUCCUGUUAUUAGGGAAGCGGUACCUAACGAAUAAGCACCGGCUAACUCCGUGCCAGCAGCCGCGGUAAUAC